CGAGAGGUCCAGAAGACCUGCUAACUCUUCAAU
rnacentral:tRNA from 1 species